AUCUGGCCUGCCCACUGAUUUAUUUUAAAGGGCCGCGGUAUACUGACCGUGCGAAGGUAGCAUAAUCAUUAGUCUUUUAAUUGAAGGCUUGUAUGAAUGGUUGGACAAAAAGCAAACUGUCUCAGUUGUAAUAAUUGAAUUUAACUUUUGAGUGAAAAGGCUUAAAUAAGUUAGGGGGACGAUAAGACCCUAUAAAGCUUGACAAUAAGCCGUUUAUAUUAUAAAUUGUUAGUAUAACUUGAUUUUAAAUGGUGUUUGUUGCGUUGGGGCGACGAGAAUAUAAAAGAUAACUGUUCUUAUAAUAUUUAAUAACAGAAAUAGUUGGAAAAUUAAUGAUCCUUUCUUUAAGAUCAUAAGAUUAAGUUACUUUAGGGAUAACAGCGUAAUCUUCCUUGAGAGUUCAUAUCGACAGGAAGGGUUGCGACCUCGAUGUUGAAUUAAGGUAUCCUUAUAAUGCAGCAGUUAUAAAGGAAGGUCUGUUCGACCUUUAAAUCCUU
rnacentral:rRNA from 1 species